rnacentral:piRNA from 1 species
GGAAACCAACAAACCACAGGAAGGUCCA